rnacentral:lncRNA from 1 species
GCGGCGGCGCGCGCUGCACAGUCACCGGGAGUUGCGCGCCGCAGCCGCGGGGAGACAUACACCGGCCCGCCGGGCCCGGCUCAGCGUCGGCGCAGCAGGCUACGCACGGCUCCGCCACCGCCCGGGGCCCUCGCACUGCGCCACGCUUCGCUCCAAGUUACUUUGGCGGCCGGUGGGAAACUGCAGGAGAAGGGCGACGUGCUGAUAGAGGGCUUCGCGCUUGUGGUCCCGGGAGUCUGAGAACCCCUUUCCUCAGCCUCCUCUGUGCCUUAGCGGGGCGACCCCCAGAAAUCUCAGAGGAGUCGUAAGUGCUGCGGUACCGGGCGGUGCGCCGAGAAGGGUGGGGAUCCGGAGCCGCAACCCAGCCUUGUCGGUGUCCUGGAACUGGUUAAGCGGCAGCUGCGCCGGCUUUCGAAGCGGUCUUGCCUCGAAAACCUCAAAGAAAAGUUUGGCUCUUCGCGUCUUCCGGCAGGUCCCCCAGCAGAGUCGGAACGCGGCGGUAGCGGAAGAGGGCACCCCGGGGGCUGGCCGAGCCUCGGGGAUUUCUCGCGCGUGCUUUCCUUGGCUGGGUGUGGGUGCACCACAGUGAAUGAAGAGCAGAGGUUAAGACCAGCCGGCCUGGCAGAGCUGGGAUUCCUAAACCUGCAAGACGACGCCAACCCAACUGUUCGGCUGGAGAGCGGGAGGGGAAACAAUCACUUUCAAAUGGAUCCCUCCAACUCCUGGAUGGGCCGAUGUCAGUCUCCGAUCGCCUUCCGAGAGGGAGACUGAGCCCCCACACGCGGUGCCAAGAGCCCGGGGUGAGCUCUCAGAAGUGUCCCUGCGACUCCAGCGGGUCCAAGCCUAGCAACUUGUAGAGAUGCAUCAAUCAGUUUGAAAUGGGAAAAGAGGAAAAAAAAAAAGCGCACGAGCGAGUGGCACCUCCCCGAUGACUACAUCAGAAAACCUUCCCGAUCCUCCCGCAGCUGCUCCUCUUUCCCUCCUUAGGCACAGCAGCAACAGAGGUGAAAACCACAAACCGAAUCCUAAAACCCCUACCCAGGCGGGAAAAUAAAUAAACUUGAGUGCAGCAGCAGCAGCACGAGCAGCCCAGGAGGAAUUGAAACGACUGGCAAGAAGUGGAAAGGGUUUUGUAAAAGUCAGUUUUGCAAAAGAGGGGGAAAAAAAGAGAGCGAGAGAAAAAAUGCUUUAUGGGAAAAAAAAUCUCCUCGGGCACGCCCCCUCGUUAAUGACUUGCGUGGAAAGCCGACAGCGGCGGCGACCCAGUGGCAGCAGCCUCAGCAGAGCGCGAGGCCGCACGCGUGAACGUGGACGUGGGCGGGGGGAUGGGGCUCCGCCCGGGCGUGUUGCGCGGGACGCGGGACGGGCGGGCGGCGCGAGCGCGGGUGUGAGCUCCGGACG